rnacentral:rRNA from 1 species
UCGCCUGUUUAACAAAAACAUGUCUUUUUGAAAUUUUUUUAAAGUCUAACCUGCCCACUGAAUAAAUUUAAAUGGCCGCAGUAUACUAACUGUGCAAAGGUAGCAUAAUCAUUAGUCUUUUAAUUGAAGGCUGGUAUGAAUGGUUGGACGAGAUAUUAACUGUUUCAUAAAAAUUUAUAGUAGAAUUUUAUUUUUUAGUCAAAAAGCUAAAAUAAUAUUAAAAGACGAGAAGACCCUAUAAAUCUUUAUAUAUAAAUUGUUGGAAUUUUGUAGAUUUUUUUUAUUACAAUAGUUGAUUAUAUUUUAUUGGGGUGAUAUUAAAAUUUAAUAAACUUUUAAUUAUUUAAAUCAUUAAUUUAUGAAUAAUUGAUCCGUUAAUAACGAUUAAAAAAAUAAGUUACUUUAGGGAUAACAGCGUAAUUUUUUUGGAGAGUUCAUAUCGAUAAAAAAGAUUGCGACCUCGAUGUUGGAUUAAGAUAUAAUUUUAGGUGUAGCCGCUUAAAUUUUAAGUCUGUUCGACUUUUAAAUUCUUACGUGAUCUGAGUUCAGACCGGA